AACGAACGCUGGCGGCAUGCCUAACACAUGCAAGUCGAACGAGACCUUCGGGUCUAGUGGCGCACGGGUGCGUAACGCGUGGGAACCUGCCCUUAGGUUCGGAAUAACUCCCCGAAAGGGGUGCUAAUACCGGAUAAUGUCUUCGGACCAAAGAUUUAUCGCCUUUGGAUGGGCCCGCGUUGGAUUAGCUAGUUGGUAGGGUAAAAGCCUACCAAGGCGACGAUCCAUAGCUGGUCUGAGAGGAUGAUCAGCCACACUGGGACUGAGACACGGCCCAGACUCGUACGGGAGGGAGCAGUGGGGAAUAGUGGACAAUGGGCGAAAGCCUGAUCCAGCAAUGCCGCGUGAGUGAUGAAGGCCUUAGGGUUGUAAAGCUCUUUUACCCGGGAUGAUAAUGACAGUACCGGGAGAAUAAGCGCCGGCUAACUCCGUG
rnacentral:rRNA from 1 species